rnacentral:tRNA from 1 species
GCCUCCGUAGCUCAAUGGAAGAGCCACCUGUUUCUAGCGGGAGGGUUGCAGGUUCGAGUCCUGUCGGGGGUU